rnacentral:rRNA from 1 species
UACGGGGGGAGCAAGCGUUGUUCGGAUUUACUGGGCGUAAAGGGCGCGUAGGCGGUCAGCACAAGUCAGUUGUGAAAUCUCCGAGCUUAACUCGGAAAGGUCAGCCGAUACUGCGGGGCUAGAGUGCAGAAGGGGCAACUGGAAUUCUCGGUGUAGCGGUGAAAUGCGUAGAUAUCGAGAGGAACACCUGCGGCGAAGGCGGGUUGCUGGGCUGACACUGACGCUGAGGCGCGAAAGCUAGGGGAGCGAACGGG